AACGAACGCUGGCGGUCGUGCCUAACACAUGCAAGUCGAGGGAGAAAAGGGGCUUCGGCUCCUGAGUAAACCGGCGCACGGGUGAGUAACACGUAGGUAACGUACCCUGGAGUCCGGGAUAACCAGUCGAAAGAUUGGCUAAUACCGGAUACGACUAUGAGGUCUCAGGACCUUAUAGUGAAAGAUGGCCUCUAUUUAUAAGCUAUCACUCCUGGAUCGGCCUGCGCACCAUUAGCAGUUGGUGAGGUAACGGCUCACCAAGGCUGAGAUGGUUAGCUGGUCUGAGAGGAUGGCCAGCCACACUGGGACUGAGACACGGUCCAGACUCCUACGGGAGCAGCAGUAAGGAAUAUUGCUCAAUGGAGAAAUCCUGAAGCAGCAACGCCCG
rnacentral:rRNA from 1 species